AGCGAACGCUGGCGGCAGGCCUAACACAUGCAAGUCGAACGAACCCUUCGGGGUUAGUGGCGGACGGGUGAGUAACACGUGGGAACGUGCCUUUAGGUUCGGAAUAACUCAGGGAAACUUGUGCUAAUACCGAAUGUGCCCUUCGGGGGAAAGAUUUAUCGCCUUUAGAGCGGCCCGCGUCUGAUUAGCUAGUUGGUGAGGUAAUGGCUCACCAAGGCUACGAUCGGUAGCUGGUCUGAGAGGAUGACCAGCCACAUUGGGACUGAGACACGGCCCAAGCUCCUACGGGAGGCAGCAGUGGGGAAUCUUGCGCAAUGGGCGAAGGCCUGACGCAGCCAUGCCGCGUGGAUUAUGAAGGUCUUAGGAUUGUAAAAUCCUUUCACCGGUGAAGAUAAUGACUGUAGCCGGAGAAGAAGCCCCGGCUAACUUCGUGCCAGCCGCCGCGGUAAGUC
rnacentral:rRNA from 1 species